rnacentral:rRNA from 1 species
AGUGAACGCUGGCGGUAGGCCUAACACAUGCAAGUCGAACGGCAGCACAGUAAGAGCUUGCUCUUACGGGUGGCGAGUGGCGGACGGGUGAGGAAUACAUCGGAAUCUACUUUUUCGUGGGGGAUAACGUAGGGAAACUUACGCUAAUACCGCAUACGACCUACGGGUGAAAGCAGGGGAUCUUCGGACCUUGCGCGAUUGAAUGAGCCGAUGUCGGAUUAGCUAGUUGGCGGGGUAAAGGCCCACCAAGGCGACGAUCCGUAGCUGGUCUGAGAGGAUGAUCAGCCACACUGGAACUGAGACACGGUCCAGACUCCUACGGGAGGCAGCAGUGGGGAAUAUUGGACAAUGGGCGCAAGUCUGAUCCAGCCAUACCGCGUGUGUGAAGAAGGCCUUCGGGUUGUAAAGCCCUUUUGUUGGGAAAGAAAAGCAGCAGGUUAAUACCCCGCUGUUCUGACGGUACCCAAAGAAUAAGCACCGGCUAACUUCGUG